AUUGAACGCUGGCGGCAUGCUUUACACAUGCAAGUCGAACGGUAACAGGCCGCAAGGUGCUGACGAGUGGCGAACGGGUGAGUAAUGCAUCGGAACGUGCCCAGUCGUGGGGGAUAACGCAGCGAAAGCUGUGCUAAUACCGCAUACGAUCUAUGGAUGAAAGCGGGGGACCGUAAGGCCUCGCGCGAUUGGAGCGGCCGAUGUCAGAUUAGGUAGUUGGUGGGGUAAAGGCUCACCAAGCCAACGAUCUGUAGCUGGUCUGAGAGGACGACCAGCAACACUGGGACUGAGACACGGCCCAGACUCCUACGGGAGGCAGCAGUGGGGAAUUUUGGACAGUGGGCGCAAGGCUGAUCCAGCAAUGCCGCGUGCAGGAAGAAGGCCUUCGGGUUGUAAACUGCUUUUGUACGGAACGAAAAGGUUUGGGUUAAUACCCUGGGCCGAUGACGGUACCGUAAGAAUAAGCACCGGCUAACUACGUGCCAGCCGCCGCGGUAA
rnacentral:rRNA from 1 species